ACCCGUAAUAUGCCUCAGUAGCGGCGAGUGAGCGGCAGAGCUCAGAUUUGAAAUCGCAGCGGCAACGCGGCGAGUUGUAGAUUGCAGGUGGGAGAGUUUGCGGGCGGCGGGCGUCGAAGUCCCUUGGAACAGGGCGCCACUGAGGGUGAGAGCCCCGUGCGAUGCCUGCCCAUGCUUUGAACUCCCCUCUGACGAGUCGAGUUGUUUGGGAAUGCAGCUCUAAGCGGGUGGUAAAUUCCAUCUAAGGCUAAAUACUGGCGAGAGACCGAUAGCGAACAAGUACUGUGAAGGAAAGAUGAAAAGCACUUUGAAAAGAGAGUGAAACAGCACGUGAAAUUGUUGAAAGGGAAGGGUAUUGGGCCCGACAUGGGAAUCGCGCACCGCUGCUCCUCGUGGGCGGCGCUCUGCGCUUUUCCUGGGCCAGCAUCGGUUUCCGCUGCAGGAGAAGGGGCUGUGGAAUGUGGCUGGCACGCUUGCGCGCCAGUGUUAUAGCCACGGGCCAGAUGCUGCGUGUGGGGACCGAGGGCUGCGACGGCAACGUCUCGGAUGCUUCUAUUGUACUUC
rnacentral:rRNA from 1 species